ACUUCCUGUUUCUCCAUAUUACUGAGGAUCUAAUUCAUUAUUAAGAAGGAGAAGCUACAGGGUUCCAGAGAUGGCCCAGUCACCAGAACUGCAGUUAUCAAAGGUUUUCAUCUUGCAGCAUUGUGUUGGGUCUGAAGGACUUCAGCAUUCAAACCUUCCUUUCAACAGAUAUUCCGUUAACAAGUGUGGGAGAAUCCUCUGUCUUCGGGCUUGCAUUAUUUGUACAGAGAAGUAACCCCUCAUUCUCAUCUUGAGCUUCUGUGCGGGUGUGAAGCUGGGAAGGUGAAGCCUGGAUUGAGCUGGAGAUGCCACAGUGAUGGACAAACUGCUAAAGAAACCACACCAAGAGAAAGGAAUGUGUUGCAGUCAACCAAGCUAGAAGGGGCUGGAGAUCUGAAGUCGCCUUUGACAUAGAUUCAGAAUGUGGAGUCUUGCUUCAAUCCUCACUGUACCUGCUCUUUUGCUCCCCUUUGGAAUGGUAAUACGUAUUCUGUGCCAUGGUCAAAUCUAAGUGGAUCAAGGAACUUCACAUAAAAC